rnacentral:rRNA from 1 species
CAAUAGCAUAUAUUAACGUUGUUGCAGUUGAAAAGCUCGUAGUUGAACUUUUGGUAGGAGCGACCUGGCCUUGGGCGCAUGCCCUUGUUUGCCGUGUGUCGUAUCUGGCCAUCCUUUUCUUCUUCGGAAGGAAUCCUUUACUGUGAGUAAACUGGAGUGCUCAAAACAAGACGUUUGUUUGGUACAUUAAAGCAUGGAAUAAUAAGAUAGGACCUGGUUACUAUUUUGUUGGUUUGCAUAGCUAGGUAAUGAUUAACAGGGACAGUUGGGGGUAUUCGUAUUUAAUUGUCAGAGGUGAAAUUCUUGGAUUUAUGAAAGACGAACGACUGCGAAAGCAUUUACCAAGGAUGUUUNCAUUA